UGGCAUCGCACCACGAAGGUAUGGAGGC
rnacentral:sRNA from 1 species